GUGGGGAAUAUUGCACAAUGGGCGAAAGCCUGAUGCAGCAACGCCGCGUGAGUGAUGAAGGCCUUCGGGUCGUAAAACUCUGUCCUCAAGGAAGAUAAUGACGGUACUUGAGGAGGAAGCCCCGGCUAACUACGUGCCAGCAGCCGCGGGAAUACGUAGGGGGCUAGCGUUAUCCGGAUUUACUGGGCGUAAAGGGUGCGUAGGCGGUCUUUCAAGUCA
rnacentral:rRNA from 1 species